rnacentral:rRNA from 1 species
AGCCUUAAGAGCUAAUUUAAGGUGAAGCCUGCCCAGUGCUAAUUUAAGUUAACGGCCGCAGUACUUUGACUGUGCUAAGGUAGCAUAAUCAGUUGGCUUUUAAAUGGAGUCGGGAAUGAAUGGAUGAAUGGGGCCUUUCUGUCUCUUAAUUACUCUAUUGAAUUUACUUAGUAAGUGAAAAUUCUUACAUUAAAGAAAUAAGACGAGAAGACCCUAGGAGUUUUUACUAAAAUUAAUUUUAAUAAUUAUUUAGUUUUUGUUGGGGCGACAAGAGAAAAUUAAUUUAACUUCUCUUUUGGUAUAUGCCGACUUAAGUAUGAAAAUUUAAACUACCCUAGGGAUAACAGCGUAAUUCUUUUGAGUUUGCGACCUCGAUGUUGGACUAGGAAUAAAUUAGGUUAGCCGUCUAAUUUUAAGGUUCUGUUCGAACUAUUUUUCCU